rnacentral:lncRNA from 1 species
AUCACAUUUCCCUUUCCACCUCAGAUCCAAGAUGUUAAAGUACCUGCUGUCUCCUCAUCAUAAAGGUUGCCUGGCAUCAACAAGGGACUCUUCUGCUUCAAGGAGUAUAAUGUGGGUCACUCUGCACCCUAUGACUGGGAAGUCCUUGAAGAUCCGAAGAAAACUUAAACACAUACAUGUGCAUCAUCCUUUCUUCUCUUUAGGAGUCUCAUGGAACUAGCUUGCAACUCCUUAUACCCAGCUCAUGUCAGUUUACUCAGAUUUCUUAUGAGCCUCUUGACUUCAAUAGUGGAAGACUCUAUCCAACGUCCUUCACAUCAAGCUGAGAACUGACUAGUAUUGCUUCUACUCUCUUUUACUCACCAAAGUAAGUGAAGUAGCCACUCCAGAUUCAACAAGACAAAAGGUACACUUUGGUGAGCAGAGUGAUGUAUGUCCACAUAAGAAAGGGAGGAACUGAUGGUAUCAUUUUCAGAGACUUUUUAUAUUAUCUUUCAGUUUGGUUAAGACCAGUAAUCUAUAAGCCUUACCUCUGAAAAUUAUUGAUCCUUGCACAGAACAAAAGUGAUCGCAAUGCCCAUUUGGACCAUGUGAGUGUCUGAGACCACUGAUUAUUGGUAUACAAAAUUUGAAAACUUUUGGGAUUCUUGUUUGUUUGUUUGUUUGUUUGUUUGUUUCAAAUACUGAUAAGAAGUGGCUUGGUUUACCAAUUCUAAUAUGAAGAAGUACAGGCCAUUGCUCUAUGUUUGUGUUACACGUCUAUAAAACCUAAGGAAGCCUAGGAGGGAAAAAUAUGAUCAAGUGGGCAGAACAUGGGCACAGAAUGGCUUACACUCCUCUAACUGCUGAAGAUGCUGCUCUAAGUUCUCUGAGGUGAUGGUUUGCCUUGAGAGAAGUCCAUAUGAUACCAUGUUUUUCUAGAGUGUUCUGAUUCUCAGGGUGAUGGUGUAUGCAGAUAAUGGCUGGCUCCUUUAAUGUAUGCAUUAUAUGAACUUUGUGCUACUAAGCAACAUUACUUUUUUUUUUUAAGUGCUAUCUUCACAGAAGCAUUUAGUCUCCUAAGAACAACAACAAAAAAUCGUUUCAGAAAUUUAUGAGGGAAGGAGAGAAGAACAAACAACUUAGUAUUAUUUAAUGAGCAUGGGUUAUGAGUAAAAAUAUGAAAGUGAAUGUAUUAAAUGAAAUUCCCAAAAGACUUUCUCUGAUAUUGCUAAGUUGCGUGCAUGCAUGUGUGUGUGUGUGUGUGUGUGUGUGCACCUUCAUUUUCCAGAACACUGAUUCCAUAUCCUUAGAAGGGUCACAGCUGCUGCUGGCAUGUUUCGAGAGGGAGCCUUGAGGACGCCCCAGUGCUUUAAGCUAGGGAACAGCAGAGAUUGAAUCUGAAGUCACCAUCAGAGAGAGAAAAAGAACAGGUUACAAAAGAUGGGCAAGGUGCCUGGAACUUCAUGCCUGUGUUGUCUCCUUUGUGUAAAAGGGGAAAUCCAAGAAUCCAUGCCUACCUCUGAUAUACCAGUGCAUCCUUGGCUUAUUGGAGUAAAGCUAAGAGAACAAUGACUACAUUAUUUCAUAAGCUACCCUUUGAUCCAGUUUGGAACUAGUAUUUGUUUUAUUCCACUUUGUACUGCCUUAAUGGAAUGCCUGCAACUGGGUAAUUGUAGUUGACAGAGACUCAUUUCUUAAACUUCUGUAAGCAGGGAAGUCCAAGGUCACGGAGCCAUAUGGUAAGGGUCUGCUUGCUGUAUCAUACCGUGGCAGAAGCCAAAAGCCCAUGCAAAAGUACAAACACGUGAGGGAGCAAACUCAGCCUUCCCCUAGGAACCCCUCCCUGAAUGACUAACUGACUCUUGCAAUAAGGGCAUUAAUCCAUUCACGAGGCAGAGACUCAUGAGCUGUACACAAAGCUGUUCUAUUUCUCACAUACAAAUUUCUCAAGCUCAAGCAGUGCUGUUAUUCUUUUCUAUCUCUAGAUGUUAUCUUAUAUCUUUAGAGCCUCUUUCAAAUGCACAGGUCAGUGAUCAACAAUACAGAGGAACCCUGAGGUUCUUGUCUGGAAGUGCUGUAAAUAGCAAUUAGGAUAACGUUUUUCCACACCCAACAUUGCAUUCUUGGGAGAGGGACAUAGAUAGCUUAGAGGGCAGGAAGGAAAAACACUAGAAUGGGUCAUUGUCUACUGUGUAGGAGCUGCUCUGCUGGGUCUUUACAGUGUAUAUCUCUUUAUACAUUUUUAUAACUCUGCAGUGUGUGUGAAAUGACUGCUACUUCAUGACUGCACAGCAAAGCUUAGAGACUGAAUCAACUAAGAACGGAAGAAUUAAAAAUCCACAGCAUCUAGUCAGAGCCUGUUAUGUAAGAGUAAGGUAAACAAUUCAAAAAGACACGUCAGAGGGUUUUCUGCCCCCAAUAGAAGAUCAUCCUAUCCAUGUAAGAAAAAACUAUAUAGCUGCCUGAAUCAGAAUGUGACAGAAAAACAGAAAAACAAACAAACAAAAAAGUGACAGAAGAAUCUGGCAAAAGAAUUUUAAGGGGUGUAACGUCAGUGAUUUCAAUAAGCUUGCCUGGGACUGAGGAGGCAGCUCAGUGGUUAAAGCAUUUGUCAAGCAGGUUUGAGCCGCUGAAUGCUAAUCCCCUGAAUCCAUGUGGAGCUGGGGAUGGUAACGUGCUUUGUAUAAUACCAUUGUUGCCUCAAUGAAAUAAGAGAAGGAGACAUCAGAAUCAUCGUAGGUUUGCACGCACACCCAGGGGUGAAAGACAGGCAAACCGUCUCAAACCAAGAGGAAGGGAAGGGUAACAUUUGAGGUUGUCCUCUGAGCUCCACAAGCAUCCUGUCGCUCCUGCAGCCUCACAAACAUGAAUAUGUAUAUACCCAUAUGUAAGUAUUAAGCAUGCACACAUAAACAAACAUGUACACAACAAACAAAUAGAUACAUUUUCUUAAUAUGUGAAAAACAUUUAGACAGAUGAUAUUUUUCGCUUUUAUCCAACAGACAACUGUAAAUGCUAGUUUUUGGUCCAAAGCAAAGCAAAAACAACUAUAUGAAAAAUUCUCCUAAGUGAAAAAUUAUAAUGUUAUUAUUUUCUGAAAACCCAGAAAACUAGACAUCCAAUAAAUGAAGUAAGCAGGAUUUUUUUUUCAAGUUGACUAUUGGAAAAAUGGAGAAAUCAUAAGUUAAAAAUAGAAAUUAAAUCUAGGAAUUAGUGGAAAGAUAAUUAUUUGUCAUCAGAAUCCACUGAUUACAAAUGUAUAGCAUAUUGUGAGGAACAUAUUGUGUAAAUUGUCUUUAUUGUUUUUUUCUAUGAAUAAAUAUUAUGUUUGG